GUUUGAGUGAAUCUGGCAUCUUAGAACAUAUGUACAGUGCUGCCCAUGGAAAUGCUUCAAAUUGCCUGGAGACGAUUACGACCUCCACAAUCACAGACGUGAAGCUCAGACCCCUCGAACUGCAAGACUUCUUUGGUGUUGUGUUACUUUAUACUGGAGGAAUGUUGCUGGCCCUAGUGACCUUUCUUAUGGAGAUUGUUGUGUUCUCAACUUCACGGACACAUAGAAUCUGAGCACUUCUGAAAUUUAUAUAGUGACAGAAAUCUAGACAAUUAAAUGUAAUCUCUGAAGUACCGUAUAAGGUAUAUGCUAUUUAGUAAUAUAACAUAUUUUACUAAUUCAUGUUGGUUGUCUACUCAAAUGAAAAUAAAAUAAUAAAGCAUUAUCUAUAAUA